UGAAGCCGCUUCAGACCAGGUUGUGGCGCUUAUUCUGUCACUCAACUGCACUAAAGUGGAGAAGCAGAAGAUUGUGUUGUGGUCAGCUGUCCACGCCUGCGCGUUCAUACAGUGUUGUUGGAAGAAAAGAAAGAAGAGCUGAACUGUUGAAGGCAAUGGCAUUUCGGAGUUCUCCCAUUUGGAUUACAUGAGGUGCCAGCCACCUUCUAGUGCCUCAUGGAAGUGAUCCUGCAGCCGCACUAAGCUUUUGCUGCAGUCUACCUGGAUGAUGCAAUUUGCCACAUGGGCCGAGCAUGUUAUAUAACUACAGAUGCCUCUGCAAGGCUAGACUCUCAGCCAACCCCACAAAAUGCUACCUCAUUUUAUGGGUAGCUUUUAUGGCCUGAAGAGAAAAAGGUUGAUGCCAUAAUUGACUUUCCCCCACCCACUAAGACUGAGGUACAUGUUUUCUUAAUGUUGGCCAGCUGCUGCUGGUAGUUCAUGCUUAACUACCCUCUUUCCUCUCAGACCUCAUGAAGAAAGGACACCCUGACGAUAGUCACCUAAAGCGGAACCUGAAACGUCCAAAUGCUAAAAUACCACCUGAUCACAGAACCAGUCCUAAGGAACCCUGAUUUUGACGAACAGUUUGUUGUACAGACUGAUGUGUCAGAGAGAGGUUUGGGAGCAGUCCUGGGAGGAAUAUCCAUUAUUGUACAUCAGCUGUAAACUUUCCCCUGCUGAUCAGCAUUAUGCCACCCUGGAAUGAGAAGCUUUGGCCAUCAAAUAGGCCAUUAAAGAACUGAGAUACUAUUUGACUGGUGUGGAAUAGGCCAGAGGUGCUGAAUGGCAAUGCCAUUGUCCUUUCCCUUCUGCCUGCUUGCUGGGCAUCCAAACCUGUCAGAAACCAGGGAGCAGUGGACAAUUGAUGUUUAUUUCUUGCACGCAGGUACCAGAAACAAAAAAAGGUAAAACAGUGGACUGACACAAUUUUAUAGUUUGACUGAUGUCAAGAUUAGUCAUGUAUAACAAUAAUAAGAAAAAUAUCCAGAACAGAAUGUUAGGUUCAAUCAAAGCACAUGCACACACAACACUGAAUGUGAUAACAUAACACAGCACUAAACACAUUACACAGCAGUACAUUUCUUUAUUCCUCCCAUGUAUGUUCCUGAAAACUUAAUAAAUCAAUUUUUGGCUAGUAUUUUCCUCUUUCUACAUGUCCUAAAACAGGCCUUUUCCCUCAGUCCACAUACAGGCAAUUGGGGAAGUGAAGUGUUUCCAUGUUUAUAAGGAAUGUCUAUGUUAGUAUAGUGUAGACAUGAAGCACCUAGAGUAAUUUUGAAAGAAAAUAAAUAACAAAAGCUACUAGUACUGGUGUUUAUUCUGUCUUAGUUAUUAUACAGCUUGUUGCAGUGUUAGGAGUAUUCUUGUUUCGUGAUUCAAUAGAGGCAGCGGUUAUUCUGAGGGAGCAAGGGUUGAUGUGAACAAACAGUAAGGAGGUGUCGGUACUAAGAGCAAUUUGGCCCCCAUCCCAAGUCUGGACAUUUGUUAUAUAACAACUCAUUUAUUCUAAGUUAGGUUUUUAUUUUAGGUUAUUCUGCCUUCUUAAGCAAAAAGGGGUAUAAAACUAAGAAAAGGUAAAAGAACUGAAAAAAACUGCAAAAAGUAAAAGAAAAAAACUAACUUCAGUCGAUGAGGUUUUUUGGAAGGAAGGUCCCAUCUUCAUUUAUUGGCUUCAGGUGGCAAGAUGGUUCCCAGGCAACCAAAUGCAAAGAUCAUCACAAAAAAAUCCAUUUUUAUAUCCUGCUUGGGGGUGAUUAAAUUAUUGCCCCUCCCAAUCACCUUGUCACAUAUCAUCUUAGUCCCUAUUACAUCCUGACUCUGCACUUCUCUUGGACACCCUUAUUUCCAAUCAUACAUGACAUUGUUU